UACGUAGGGUGCAAGCAUUGUCCGGAUUUAUUGGGCGUAAAGAGCUCGUAGGCGGCCUGUCACGUCGGGUGUGAAAACUCGGGGCUCAACCCCGAGCCUGCACUCGAUACGGGCUAGCUAGAGUGUUGCAGGGGAGACUGGAAUUCCUGGUGUAGCGGUGAAAUGCGCAGAUAUCAGGAGGAACACCAAUGGCGAAGGCAGCUCGCUGGGACGGUACUGACGCUGAGACGCGAAAGCGUGGGGAGCAAACAGG
rnacentral:rRNA from 1 species